UACAGAGGUCCCAAGCGUUGUUCGGAUUCACUGGGCGUAAAGGGUGCGUAGGUGGCGGGGUAAGUCUGAUGUGAAAUCUCCGAGCUUAACUCGGAAACUGCAUCGGAUACUGCCUUGCUCGAGGGUUGGAGGGGGGACUGGAAUACUUGGUGUAGCAGUGAAAUGCGUAGAUAUCAAGUGGAACACCAGUGGCGAAGGCGAGUCCCUGGAUAACUCCUGACACUGAGGCACGAAAGCUAGGGGAGCAAACGGG
rnacentral:rRNA from 1 species